UCUCAGUAGCUGAGUGGAUAACGCAAUGGCGUUUCAAGAGAAAGGUACUGGGUUCGAGUCCCAGAAAGUACA
rnacentral:tRNA from 1 species